GACGAACGCUGGCGGCGUGCUUAACACAUGCAAGUCGAACGGAAAGGCCCUGCUUUUGUGGGGUGCUCGAGUGGCGAACAGGUGAGUAACACGUGAGUAACCUGCCCUUGACUUUGGGAUAACUUCAGGAAACUGGGGCUAAUACCGGAUAGGAGCUCCUGCUGCAUGGUGGGGGUUGGAAAGUUUCGGCGGUUGGGGAUGGACUCGCGGCUUAUCAGCUUGUUGGUGGGGUAGUGGCUUACCAAGGCUUUGACGGGUAGCCGGCCUGAGAGGGUGACCGGCCACAUUGGGACUGAGAUACGGCGCAGACUCCUACGGGAGGCAGCAGUGGGGAAUAUUGCACAAUGGGCGGAAGCCUGAUGCAGCAACGCCGCGUGCGGGAUGACGGCCUUCGGGUUGUAAACCGCUUUCGCCUGUGACGAAGCGUGAGUGACGGUAAUGGGUAAAGAAGCACCGGCUAACUACGUG
rnacentral:rRNA from 1 species